rnacentral:misc_RNA from 1 species
GAAAUGCGAUAAGUAAUGUGAAUUGCGGAAUUCAGUGAAUCAUCGAAUCUUUGAACGCACCUUGCGCUCCUUGGUAUUUCUUGGAGCAUGCCUGUUUGAGUAUCAUGAAAUCUUCAAAGUAAAUCUUUUGUUAACUCAAUUGGUUUCUACUUUGGUAUUGGAGGUCUUUGCAGCUUCACACCUGCUCCUCUUUGUUCAUUAGCUGGAUCUCAGUGUUAUGCUUGGUUCCACUCGGCGUGAUAAGUUAUCUAUCGCUGAGGACACUGUAAAAGGUGGCCAAGGUAAAUGCAGAUGAACCGCUUCUAAUAGUCCAUUGACUUGGACAAUACUUUUAUGAUCUGAUCUCAAAUCAGGUAGGACUACCCGCUGAACUUAAGC